GACGAACGCUGGCGGCGUGCCUAAUACAUGCAAGUUGAGCGCUGAAGGUUGGUACUUGUACCAACUGGAUGAGCAGCGAACGGGUGAGUAACGCGUGGGGAAUCUGCCUUUGAGCGGGGGACAACAUUUGGAAACGAAUGCUAAUACCGCAUAAAAACUUUAAACACAAGUUUUAAGUUUGAAAGAUGCAAUUGCAUCACUCAAAGAUGAUCCCGCGUUGUAUUAGCUAGUUGGUGAGGUAAAGGCUCACCAAGGCGAAGAUACAUAGCCGACCUGAGAGGGUGAUCGGCCACAUUGGGAAGGAGACACGGCCCAAACUCCUACGGGAGGCAGCAGUAGGGAAUCUUCGGCAAUGGAAGAAAGUCUGACCGAGCAACGCCGCGUGAGUGAAGAAGGUUUUCGGAUCGUAAAACUCUGUUGGUAGAGAAGAACGUUGGUGAGAGUGGAAAGCUCAUCAAGUGACGGUAACUACCCAGAAAGGGACGGCUAACUACGUG
rnacentral:rRNA from 1 species